CAACUGCAGCACAAGCUUAUUUCACACUGCACAAUUUCCGUGACUCUGCACAAGAUGUGUCUAGCUGCAUGUUAGAAUAAACCCCCAAAGGUAUUUUCUUGGCAGGGAACUCCACUGAGUUUCAAAAGGGCUUACUUCAGAUAAGGCUGCAAUCUAGACACACGUCACACUGAGUCCACUAAAUGUGCAUAGGCGUGCUGCAGAACAUGAAUCAUUACCAAAAUAUAAUUAGAAAUGAGCCUGUUAUAUAUAUAUCUUAAGUAUGUAUACAAACUCAAUGAGCGGUGUGUUUGCUUUUGCUGGGUAAUCUUAUUUAUAUUAGGUCUAAUCUGAGACAGAUAAACUCUCAUCUCCUCAUCAACACAUAAUAGCCUUUCUCUUUUCUGAUUUUUUGUAUUUGUCAGAGUUGAAAAUCCUUGUUCACAGCAAUACGGUCGUAUGGAACUGUAGAAGAUUAACCAAUGCUCUUGAAGAGAGGCGCAGAUACUGUUUCCGGUUGUAUAUCCAAAAAUAAUCCAGUGGCAUACUUUUACU